GAAGUUUCACCCCUUUUUUAGUGGUCAGUAUUGCUAGAUAACGAGUUGUUGUAUCUCUCCAUUCAUCUUCGCUCGUAAAGAUUUCAACACUUCCAUGUAAAAGGGGAGCACGGUGGAAACAUUGUUUCAUCAACAGAGGCGGGAAAGAGUUGAAAAGAAUUCUGCCCAAUCAUUGUCUUGGACCGGGCCCAGAAAGAAAGAGCUCUAACAAAAAUGACCGCGAAGUUUUGGAUACCUUCUGAUUCACCUAUCUACCUCGAUGAUAUAACCUCCUCAUUCAUUUUGAAGUAGGAAAACUCCAAUUACAUAUGUAAUACGUUUUUUGAGUUGAGGCACCUGCUGGGCUAAUGAAGGAACAGGUACAAAGCUCUAUUCUAUGUGUAGGAUAGGUCACGUUGCUAAUCGGUCAGUAAUUGGCCCCAAUGGGAUCUAUGGUUGUAAUGUCUAGCAUAGUAAACUUACCCAGAUGCUCUAACAAUGAACUGCCAGUCCCUAGUGAAAACAUUCUCACGGAAAAUAACAGUUCCUCAAAUGACAAGAAUAAGAAGACGUUUCUUUGGAUCAUGGAAAGAGUGAAUAUGGUUUUCUUAAUUGUUCUGGUGUGUUAUCUGUCAUGGACUAUACCUGCCACCUUUGGUUUGUUUGAUCCGCCUAGGUCUUCAUCAUCAACUUUGCUUCAGAAUAAUCGAACGCUGCUGAAUGAAACAAGGAGUUUAAUUGUAGAUACAAACGUGGGCGAUACAGUGAUACAGGGUUUUGUUGAUUUCAACAAUGACUCACAGUCUUCAGCAUUCCCAACAAAACAUUCCAAGAAAUGGAAAACAGCAAAAAGGAGGAGACCGAUAAAGAAACUGAACUCCAGCAAAAAGCGUUGGAGGAAGAAAAAGAAAAACGGAAAAAAUAAAUCCAUAAAUAGAAGGAAAGGACGAUUUUUUCAAAGAUUGAAACCGAUUACCAUUCGUCAGAUUAUCGAGAUGGUAGCACAAGAAGCAUUGACGAAAACAUCCGGAUCCUACGAUUAUAAUCAGCUCGAAAAUGAAGUUAAAGGUAACAGUUUCCCGCCCAAAACACCACGUGUUUCCGGUACAGAAUCGUCAGUGAAACUAAAGAUAGAUGCAGCUAGCUCUACGGAAUGGUCAUCUUGGAGUCCAUGUUCUGUUACCUGUGGAAUGGGACAACAGGAAAGAUCACGUGACUGUGGAUCAGCAUGUCGUGAAAUGGAAACACAGGCCUGCUACCGUAGACGUUGUUCUGAUGAAGCUUCGAGAAAAAAGAACAAGUUUGCAUGGGAGUACGAAAAUAUCAUCCCAGAUUCUACACUAAGACCGAAGGAUUUUAUCAACCCUGAAAAAGAUGUAUGUAAAAGAUGGAUGUCUUGCAAUAAAGAUACGAUAUCGUCUUAUCUAAAGCACGCAGCACUUCCAAGUUGCCCUUGUUUGUACCCUCUGCAUCUAAGCUAUAAUCCGAAAGUCUGGGAUCCUCAUGCCAAAAAACACUACAAUUGGAUGGAUGUAGACGCAAAAACUGAGGGAUUGUAUGCGUACAAGCCAAGCGCAAAGUUCUGUAUACGGUCCAAAUUAUUCAAAGGUGUUCCGACACUGGCUUCACAGAUGUGUUGCUAUGACAACGACUUCAAAUUGAUUACCAGGGGCAAAGGGGCUGGAACUCCGAAUUUGAUUAGCCCAGAAAUGUCUCCCGAACUCCAUCAUAAACUGGAUAUUAAUCCAUGGAUCAUCUGUAAAGGUGACUGGUCCAGAUCCAAGUUCUGUUGACCCAUUCAUUACGUUAAACGGAACGGCCAAUGCAUCCUUUGACCUUGACGACGCUCCAUAUUUGGUAUAACCAAAUUCUACCUCCAGAUAAUGGUCAAAAAUGUUCUUUGAAUCCAGAUGACGACAUCAUCGUGCAACAGAGGACAGACAAUAAAAAUUACUAACGUCACAGAUACAAUGCUGUUUCUUAGAUAGAAUGGUGAUGUCAUUCAUGUUAUUGAUUACCACAAUUCUUGCUUCAGCAGGAAAAAGUGAAAUGAAUCAUUUCCGGUGUUCUGGGACCGCUUUCAUUUUUUUUUUUUAUAUGUGGAAGACUUUCAGUGAGAAACGCAAAUUCUUGUGUUAAUGAUGACACAUCUGUUCGCUUAUACGGGUAUAACUGAAUAUUUUAUUUUGUAUAUAAAAGACGUUUAUUUUCAUAUUGUGUAAAUAAUAAAGUCGACCAAAUUACUACAAUCACCUAGUGUUUUAACAAUAUUAGAUAUCAUUCAAGAAUGUACAUAAGGAUUUAUAUGAAGAAAAAAGUUUGAAAACCAAAAACAAGUGACAAAACACCUGUCUUGUAAAAAUGCAGUUGAAUAUGGCUUUAAUAAAUGUUGAAGGCAUGUCUUGA